rnacentral:rRNA from 1 species
UACGUAGGGGGCUAGCGUUGUCCGGAAUCAUUGGGCGUAAAGCGCGUGUAGGCGGUCCGGUAAGUCCGCUGUGAAAGUCGGGGGCUCAACCCUCGGAUGCCGGUGGAUACUGUCGGGCUUGAGUACGGAAGAGGCGAGUGGAAUUCCUGGUGUAGCGGUGAAAUGCGCAGAUAUCAGGAGGAACACCAAUUGCGAAGGCAGCUCGCUGGGACGUUACUGACACUAAGGCGCGAAAGCGUGGGGAGCGAACAGG